rnacentral:tRNA from 1 species
AGUUUUAUAGUCAAAAAUGAUUUUAAAUUGCAAAUUUAAAGGUAGGUGUAAUCCUUAAGGCUU